rnacentral:rRNA from 1 species
UACGAAGGGGGCUAGCGUUGCUCGGAAUCACUGGGCGUAAAGCGCACGUAGGCGGCUUUUUAAGUCAGGGGUGAAAUCCUGGAGCUCAACUCCAGAACUGCCUUUGAUACUGAGAAGCUUGAGUCCGGGAGAGGUGAGUGGAACUGCGAGUGUAGAGGUGAAAUUCGUAGAUAUUCGCAAGAACACCAGUGGCGAAGGCGGCUCACUGGCCCGGAACUGACGCUGAGGCACGAAAGCGUGGGGAGCAAACAGG